CUCAUUGUCAUGUGCUAUAAAAUUGAAUAACUCUUUGGUGUCUAUGUUUUGAAACUUUGUACACGACAUCUCAUGACAAUAUAGGUCUUUUAGGGUAUUUUAAAUGUGUUCUUAUUGAUUGAUUAUUAUAUGAGUCUAGUUAUACUUAAUUUCCCACUGCUCUUUCUUUAACUAUUGAUAGUCUGAUGCAUUGGAUUAUUAUGUGAAGUUUUACUUUCCCACUGCUCUGCAAUUUCUUUAACUAAGGGGUCUGGUUUUUUUAAUUUAUGUUCUGAUUAUUCUGUGUUAGUUUUAGAGUGUUGGUGGUCUCAAAACAUAUGAAGACGAGCCCCAAGGAAAUCAUAGACCAGCCAUCAUGGAAAAAGAAUGGACCAAAUAUGAAAGUAUUGUCUAUUAGAAGAGUGAACGAAGACAUAUUUUAGGACACGCAAAAGGGUCUUUUACGACACGCAAAAUUGUCUUUUACGACACGCAAAAGUGUCUUUUACGACACGUAAAAUGGUCUUUUAUGGCACACAAUCAAAGUUGUAAAACAUCUUUCACGGCGUGCAGAAGAGUGUUUUAUGACGUGCAAAAAAUAUUUUUUACGACGCACAUUUUGUGUGCUACAAGAGAAAUUUAUCUUUUACGACAUGGUCUUUUACGACAUGCUUCUUUGUGCCGUAAAGUUGUCUUUUACAGCGCACAUUGUGUGUCGUAAAAGACCAGUUUUGUUGUAGUGAUAGCAAAGUGAUGGGAAGACACUGCAGCAGCACCAGCCGGGCCAGCUUAUAUCGAAGAAAAAAAAAAACAAAAUUAACUUUGACAUGUGACUCGGCACAGCUUUAGUUGACAUGUUUGCUAGAUGUGGUGACCUUCAAAGUGCAAUGAAGGUGUUCAAUAACAUGGCAAGAAGAGAUGUUUCUGCUUGGACAGCCGACAUUGGAGCAAUGGCCAUGCAAGGAAAUGGGGAGUGAGCUAUAGAGCUUUUUGAUGACAUGCUUAAGCAAAGGGUGAAACCAGAUGAAGUAGUCUUUAUGGCAGUACUAACAGCAUGCAGCCAUGUUGGUCUUCUGGAUAUCAUUGUUUUUUCAUUUGUUGGUUUUUCUGAGCUUUUAAUUCAUAGUGGUUAGUAACAUUUGAAAUUAGAAAAAUGGUAGUUGCAUCAACUGAUCAGCAUAUAUGGAUGGCUUGGAUCUGGGGUUACCAUACUAGCACCUUAAGAAAGAGGAGCAAUGAUCAAGUAGUGUGGUUGAUGAGACUGAUUAUCUGCACAGUCACAGGCAAGUGGCAUGAGGCUCUUUAGAGGCUGCUGCAGGAUAAGUACAAAUUUAUAAUAUGGAGGAAAGAGGUGCCACUGGGAAUGGGUGCAGAUUCUUCCCAACUCUGAAUAAGCUAGCUAGAAGCAAAAGUGUCUGCUGUUCACCUUAGUUGUGCACUUUGUGCCUACAAUAUUUUCCUACGCACUCAGGUGCCAAUUUAUCGAAACAUAUCAUAUUUGCACCAUA